GAUGACGCUAGCUACAGCUUAACACAUGCAAGUCCGAGGGGAACGACAUCGGAAAGCGUUGCUUUUGAUGGGCGUCGACCGGCGCACGGGUGAGUAACGCGUAUCCAACCUGCCCACCACUUGGGGGAUAACCUUGCGAAAGUAAGACUAAUACCCAAUGAUAUCUCUAGAAGACAUCUGAAAGAGAUUAAAGAUUUAUCGGUGAUGGAUGGGGAUGCGUCUGAUUAGCUUGUUGGCGGGGUAAUGGCCCACCAAGGCGACGAUCAGUAGCCGACCUGAGAGGGUGACCGGCCACAUUGGGACUGAGACACGGCCCAAACUCCUACGGGAGGCAGCAGUGGGGAAUAUUGCACAAUGGAGGAAACUCUGAUGCAGCGACGCCGCGUGG
rnacentral:rRNA from 1 species